rnacentral:rRNA from 1 species
GACGAACGCUGGCGGCGUGCUUAAUACAUGCAAGUCGAACGGAAAGGCCCUGCUUUUGUGGGGUGCUCGAGUGGCGAACGGGUGAGUAACACGUGAGUAACCUGCCCUUGACUUUGGGAUAACUUCAGGAAACUGGGGCUAAUAUCGGAUAGGAGCUCCUGCAGCAUGGUGGGGGUUGGAAAGUUUCGGCGGUUGGGGAUGACUUUCGGCUUAUCAGCUUGCUGGAGGGGUAGUGGCAUACCAAGGCUUUGAAGGGUAGCCGGCCUGAGAGGGUGGCCGGGGACAAGGGGACUGAGAUACGGCCCAGACUCCUACGGGAGGCAGCAGUGGGGAAUAUUGCACAAUGGGCGGAAGCCUGAUGCAGCAACGCCGCGUGCGGGAUGACGGCCUUCGGGUUGUAAACCGCUUUCGCCUGUGACGAAGCGUGAGUGACGGUAAUGGGUAAAGAAGCACCGGCUAACUACGUG